CCUACGGGAGGCUGCAGUGGGGAAUAUUGGGCAAUGGGCGCAAGCCUGACCCAGCAACGCCGCGUGAAGGAAGAAGGCUUUCGGGUUGUAAACUUCUUUUCUCAGGGACGAAGCAAGUGACGGUACCUGAGGAAUAAGCCACGGCUAACUACGUGCCAGCAGCCGCGGUAAUACGUAGGUGGCAAGCGUUAUCCGGAUUUACUGGGUGUAAAGGGCGGGUAGGCGGGAAAGCAAGUCAGAUGUGAAAACCAUGGGCUCAACCUGUGGCCUGCAUUUGAAACUGUUUUUCUUGAGUACUGGAGAGGCAGACGGAAUUCCUAGUGUAGCGGUGAAAUGCGUAGAUAUUAGGAGGAACACCAGUGGCGAAGGCGGUCUGCUGGACAGCAACUGACGCUGAGGCGCGAAAGCGUGGGGAGCAAACAGGAUUAGAUACCCCAGUAGUC
rnacentral:rRNA from 1 species